rnacentral:rRNA from 1 species
GACGAACGCUGGCGGCGCGCCUAACACAUGCAAGUCGAACGAGCGAGAGAGAGCUUGCUUUCUCGAGCGAGUGGCGAACGGGUGAGUAACGCGUGAGGAACCUGCCUCAAAGAGGGGGACAACAGUUGGAAACGACUGCUAAUACCGCAUAAGCCCACGGCUCGGCAUCGAGCCGGGGGAAAAGGAGCAAUCCGCUUUGAGAUGGCCUCGCGUCCGAUUAGCUAGUUGGUGAGGUAACGGCCCACCAAGGCGACGAUCGGUAGCCGGACUGAGAGGUUGAACGGCCACAUUGGGACUGAGACACGGCCCAGACUCCUACGGGAGGCAGCAGUGGGGAAUAUUGCACAAUGGGGGAAACCCUGAUGCAGCGACGCCGCGUGGAGGAAGAAGGUCUUCGGAUUGUAAACUCCUGUUGUUGGGGAAGAUAAUGACGGUACCCAACAAGGAAGUGACGGCUAACUACGUG